rnacentral:rRNA from 1 species
GAAGACGACGACGUUGAUAGGUCGGGUGUGUAAGCGCAGCGAUGCGUUGAGCUAACCGAUACUAAUGAACCGUGAGGCUUAACCUU